UUCAGUCUGGGAGAGUUCAGGAUACACAUUUGACAGAAACCACUGGAAAUUUUUACAGCCCAAUCUCUUCUGUAGCUGAAGACGCUCACUGCAGUCUGGCUUCUCUGCCUUCGUGGAGAAAGCAAAGGGGAAACAAGAUACUGAUACAUAUCUCUCAAGAUCAAGCCCAGGAGGAGGACCAGCUGUACCCUUUCUCCAAAUGUGUUAAAACAGCAUUUACUCUGGUGUUGUGACAGAAGACAGGUACCUUCAAACCUUGUUGCAGCUAUGGGCAUCAUCACUGCAAAGGCCUGAGGGUCUCAGUAUGUGAGGUAUUUAGCACCUGAAGAUGGCCAACAGGAUUCUGAAAACCUCCUAAGCAGAAGAGGAUAUUUUUACAAGGAAAGGUAUGGGAGCUGAAGAAUUCUGGAGAACUGCAGCAAAUUAACAACUUUUCUGCCAAAGCUUUUAAUACAGCACCCAGCAGUUUGUAACACAUGGGAUAGACAGUCCCUUGACUGACCCUGAAUUACAGUGGAUUACACAGUGGCAUAAAAACAGGAAGAAAUUGCCUUUUCUGAUGUUCCCGCAGUAGGAGAGACAACACAGCUUGCCACGUGCCAGUGAAUGUUACUUGAAUCACAUGAGGAAGACUGUCAGCCAUGAAGAAUGAAUCCUCUGGAAGGCCCCUUCAAGCACACAGUGCAACUGGGUUCCAUUUCAGAUGAUUCCCCUGUACUAUCAGUGGUGGAAAAGCAAACCACUACUUGUUGGGCAAUCUAAAGAAGGAGUCAUUUGGAGAAGGAGUCAUAGUCUAUGAGAUUUGACAGCUUCAGCAAAAACAGGUUUGUCUCUUUCUUUCCUGAUUUAAGAGCUCUUGUACUUGACAGGUUUUACAAAAAGAAAAACUAUCCCUGGCACCUUGCCCAUUGAAUGUUUGACUGCACAGAGACACCCACGCUGCCAUCCCACCCCUUUCACCUACCUCAACACACACUCCUACCCCCGUAAACAGACCGCUGCUGAUGUCUUUACCUUGCUG